GUUCCCAUCGUCUAUCGGUUAGGACGCCUCCCUUUCAAGGAGGAAAGCGGAGUUCGAUUCUCCGUGGGAACGC
rnacentral:tRNA from 1 species